rnacentral:rRNA from 1 species
UAGAGUUUGAUCCUGGCUCAGGAAGUCGUAACAAGGUAACCAGAGUUCGAUCCUGGCUAGAGUUUGAUCAUGGCUCAGUAAGUCGUAACAAGGUAGCCAAUCGAAUUCCCGCGGCCGCUCAUGGNGUCUAGNUUAUNGAGAAGGGNUNACUACAUUUNAACCUUUAGGUNAUACNGUANUAGCAAUCNGGAGACNGUUGUUUUAACACCUUCGGNCCNGANNNNAAAGGAUGAGCCCAAGUGGGAUUAGGUAGUUGGUGAGGUAAAGGCUCACCAAGCCGACGAUCUCUAGCUGGUCUGAGAGGAUGACCAGCCACACUGGGACUGAGACACGGCCCAGACUCCUACGGGAGGCAGCAGUGGGGAAUAUUGCGCAAUGGGGGCAACCUUGACGCAGCCAUGCCGCGUGAAUGAAGAAGGCCUUCGGGUUGUAAAGUUCUUUCGGUAGCGAGGAAAGGCAUUUAGUUUAAUAAACUGGAUGAUUGACGUUAACUACAGAAGAAGC